rnacentral:rRNA from 1 species
AGAGUUUGAUCAUGGCUCAGGAUGAACGCUAGCGGCAGGCCUAACACAUGCAAGUCGAACGGUAACAGGAAUUAGCUUGCUAAUUUGCUGACGAGUGGCGCACGGGUGCGUAACGCGUAUACAAUCUACCUUUUACUGGGGGAUAGCCUUUAGAAAUGAAGAUUAAUACCCCAUAGUAUCCAGACAUCGCAUGAUCGUCUGGAUUAAAGUUACGGCGGUAAAAGAUGAGUAUGCGUUCUAUUAGCUAGUAGGUGUGGUAACGGCACACCUAGGCGACGAUAGAUAGGGGCCCUGAGAGGGGGAUCCCCCACACUGGUACUGAGACACGGACCAGACUCCUACGGGAGGCAGCAGUGAGGAAUAUUGGACAAUGGGCGGAAGCCUGAUCCAGCCAUGCCGCGUGCAGGAAGACUGCCCUAUGGGUUGUAAACUGCUUUUAUACAGGAAGAAACCCCGAUACGAGUAUUGGGCUGACGGUACUGUAAGAAUAAGCAUCGGCUAACUCCGUGCCAGCAGCCGCGGUAAUACGGAGGAUGCAAGCGUUAUCCGGAAUCAUUGGGUUUAAAGGGUCCGUAGGUGGAUAAUUAAGUCAGAGGUGAAAUCCUGCAGCUCAACUGUAGAAUUGCCUUUGAUACUGGUUAUCUUGAAUUAUUGUGAAGUAGUUAGAAUAUGUAGUGUAGCGGUGAAAUGCAUAGAUAUUACAUAGAAUACCGAUUGCGAAGGCAGAUUACUAACAAUAUAUUGACGCUGAUGGACGAAAGCGUGGGGAGCGAACAGGAUUAGAUACCCUGGUAGUCCACGCCGUUAACGAUGGUCACUAACUGUUCGGACUUCGGUCUGAGUGG